rnacentral:rRNA from 1 species
GAUGAACGCUGGCGGCGUGCCUAAUACAUGCAAGUCGAGCGAACAGACGAGGAGCUUGCUCCUCUGACGUUAGCGGCGGACGGGUGAGUAACACGUGGAUAACCUACCUAUAAGACUGGGAUAACUUCGGGAAACCGGAGCUAAUACCGGAUAAUAUAUUGAACCGCAUGGUUCAAUAGUGAAAGACGGUUUUGCUGUCACUUAUAGAUGGAUCCGCGCCGCAUUAGCUAGUUGGUAAGGUAACGGCUUACCAAGGCAACGAUGCGUAGCCGACCUGAGAGGGUGAUCGGCCACACUGGAACUGAGACACGGUCCAGACUCCUACGGGAGGCAGCAGUAGGGAAUCUUCCGCAAUGGGCGAAAGCCUGACGGAGCAACGCCGCGUGAGUGAUGAAGGUCUUCGGAUCGUAAAACUCUGUUAUUAGGGAAGAACAAAUGUGUAAGUAACUAUGCACGUCUUAACGGUACCUAAUCAGAAAGCCACGGCUAACUACGU